ACAGAAGCAGAGUGACUGUAACCAACGGUUUAAGAAAAAAAUUAAAAGAAGUGAUGAUGGAGUUUCAAGGACUAAGGCAGAGGAUGAUGAGUGAGUAUAAAGAGACCGUUGAGAGACGGUACUUCACUGUCACCGGAGAGAGACCUGACGAGGAGAUGAUUGAGAAGAUCGUUACUGAUGGAGGGGAAGAGUUUCUAACUCGAGCCAUUCAGGAGCAUGGGAGAGGGAAGGUGUUGGAGACGGUUGUUGAGAUUCAGGACAGGUACGACGCGGCGAAAGAGAUUGAGAAGAGUUUGUUGGAGCUUCACCAGGUGUUUUUGGAUAUGGCUGUGAUGGUUGAGGCGCAGGAGGAGCAGAUGGAUGAGAUUGAGCAUCAUGUGAUGAGCGCGGGGCAUUAUGUUAAGGAUGGGGCUAAGGAGCUUAAGACGGCGAAGAAUCAUCAGAGGAGCAGUAGGAAAUGGAUGUGUGUUGGUAUUAUUGUGUUGCUUUUGAUCAUUCUUGUUGUUGUCAUCCCUAUCCUUACUAGUUUCACCUCUUCUUGAGAGAGACAUUGACUUAGUUGUUUGUUUUGUGCCUAAAAAGGAUGUCUUAAUCCUUGCUUUGUUGUGUUUGUGAUUCAAACUAUUAUGCAAUGAUGAAUGUUAACUUAUAUCAAUGUUCUAAAAAUCGUUAGGCGGUUUACAGAGAUUUAUUGUUUAGACGGACAGCUAGGACCAGUUUUAUUAUUUGAAAAACUCUUUUCGUCUACACCCGAUUUUCCAACUAGGUGGGUGACUAAGGCCGUCUAUACUGAUUUUUAGAACACUGCCUUAUAUGAUUGUGAAAAUGAAUUAUGCACAAAACAUUCCUCAGCAAAUGGUAAAAGUUACUGUGCAACCAAGUAUUGCUAAAAGUUUCCAAUGAUGAAUGUUUUUACCUUAUAUGACUGUGAAAAUGACAUAUAAUCUGGUUCUAUGCACAAAACAUUACUCAGUAUUGGUAUCAUUGUGUUGCUCUUGAGCAUUCUUAUUGUUGUCAUUCCCACUAUUACCAGUUUCACAUCUUCUUGAGACAUGACUUAGUGUUUGUUUUGUGGCUAAAAAGGAUGUCUUAAUCCUUGCUUUGUGUAUCCAAACUAUUAUGCAAUGAUGAAUGUUUUUUACUUUAUAUGAUUGUGAAAAUGAAUUAUAAUCUGGUUCUAUGCACAAAACAUUAGUAAAUUGGUAAAAGUUAUUGUGAAACCAAGUAUUGCUGCAAGUGGUUGUUUCUCUUCUUGUUCUUGAGUUUCCUGAAGGCAGAGGACUCGAUCUGCCUCACUCUCUCACGGCUCACACCCAUCGUUUCACCAAUCUCUUGCAACGUCUUCAUCCUCCCAUCUUCCAUCCCAAAUCUCCAACGUAUCACCUGCUUCUCCCUCGUGCUCAACGAGUCCAACACCUUGUCCAAGUCCUCCCUCAUGAACUGCUUUAUCAGAAUGUCCUCUGAUGUUUCUGCUUCAGGGUCUGAUAUCACUUCCUGCAUUCACAUUUACUGUCUUAAGCAAAACAAGAAGAAGACUAUAUAUACUAUGUAUGGUGUGUGUUAUGUUCAGGAGGGGGGACAAACCGAAGGUUUGAGGUUUAGAUUGAUUCCGAUCUUCUGGUCUAACGACCUUGGAGGCUUAGGGGCGAGUAGAACAGCCAUGAGGCGUUUCAUCGACAGUCCUGUGGCUUCUGCAACUUCUUCGUUCUUUGGUUGCUGACCUGUUUCACUGUACAGUUGCUUUCUUGCCUCUUUCACUCUGUAUGUUGCUUCCACCAUGUGAAACUGCCCAAAUCAUUGUAUGAUCAGGCAAGAACCAGACUUUUGUUUAAACAUUUGGGGGAUGAGACUACUUACAGGCAGUCUUAUCAUUCUGGACUGAUCAGAGAGAGACUUCCUCACUGCUUGCUUGAUCCACCAAUGCGCAUAAGUUGAAAAUUUAAAACCCUUUGUAGCAUCGAACUUCUCUGCUCCCCUCACAAGCCCUCUGCAUCCUUCCUGUGAUGCAUUUUCUAUAUUUAUCACUUCUCUCAAUACUGAUGUAGUUAACUACAAAAGAUAAGGAUCUAAGAACUCGAACCUGGACAAGAUCUUGGAGGUUCAUCCCAGCUCCUUGAUAGUUCUUGGCAAUCGAAAUGACUAGACGAAUGUUGCUUUUAAUCAUUCUGUCCUUGCACUGUGUGCCGUGAUUUAUACGUUUUCUUAAAGUCUUUUGAUCAACUCCAGCAGCAGAAGCCCAUUGUCCAAAGGUUGGCUGAUGGCCGCAACGCUCAGUCAGCUCUACUUGAAGCCUUUCCAGCUUCAGAAGGUCCUAAAUCACAAACCCCACAAAGUUUAUGAUCAAGAAACCACAAUAAAAAAGAUACCAAACAAGAAUGUCAAGGUAGUUUAUUUUUCAUAUAAAUUCAAAUGUAUAAUUUGGAUUACACCAUCUACCAUUAGUUUCAUCACUCUCUAAGAUUUUUAAAAGAUUUUCCAAACAUUGUUUUUCCCUAGAAUCUAGAACCUUAAGAAGAUUAGGAAGUGGCUAGUUUAUAGUUUGGAAGAUCAGAGACAAACCUGUAUUCCUUCAGAGAGUUCUGUUUCUUCUCUGGCGGUGAGAAGCUUUGAACUGCUAGUUGUCAUCCUUAGAUAACGCAAAGGAUCAUUAUGGUCAAUCUCCUGUGAAGCAACACGUUUCUUUCUAGUGCUGGAACUAGUCUUCACAGAAGACUGCAUACAUGAUGCAGUUUUCUCUAGCCCUUUUGCCCUCCUAGCUUUCCUUUCGGUUUGGCGUGUAGAUCUCACAGCUGAACUCACUGAAACCUCCUCCACAUCAACUUCUUCCUUUUCUGAUUCUAAAUCAUGAGAAGACUCUUUGUUAUUACAUUCAGGUGCAGCAGGUGGUGAUAUGAUUCUAUCACUCACAACUCCACUGUCUGAAACCGCUAGAUGUCCCAAUAUGCCAGCACGUUCCUUCUCCGUAAACUGAUCCCACUUGGACCGUUUCUCCCCAGCCAUUGAUGAAACUAAUAGUUUCGUGUUGUAACUGUUUCUAAACAACGUGGCAUCUUUCGCAACUUUGACAGCGGCUUUAGCAAGAGCCACUGCUUCAGCUGCUGCUGCUGCAACUACUGCUUCAUCGCUUGUGAGAAGUGUUUCAGCUUCUAAAUACUUCGCCUAGAAAUACAAUGAAGUUGUCAAUAAUCUUGCUGAACCAUUUGGCAAACAUAAUUAAAUAUAAUGACCUCAGUGGAAGGACCAAUGGUUCCUGUAUAAGUCCAUUGCCUGUCUGAUACUCUUGGAUUUGAAUCAGUAUCAAAAGAAGGUAGGAAAUCAUAUUGAAACAGUUAUCCUUUUAAGCAAAAAAAUAAUCCAUUUUCUUACAAAUGUUAUAAAAAAAACUUGUGAGAAUCGAACCAAACCGAAGAGGACCAACAUUCCAGUAUCUAAUUUAAACCGCCUAAACAAAUUGUAAGCCGGUUCCACAAUAAGAAAGACAUAGAAAAAAAGCCCAAGUAAAGUGGGUAACAAACACGAAAAGCCCAAUUUCACAAUAAUAAAGCAUUAAAUCAUACACGUAAUUACAGUGUAGUCCCUCUAUUAUUUUUCCGUUUCGAAAUCUUCACAAAUAAAGUUCUCUUAAUUAAAAAAAAGGAAAGAUAGCCGUUGGAGAAGAAGAAGAAGAAGACGAAGACACUAACGGCUAUUUUUCCAUCUGAGCUUCUUAUAGAAGCUUCAUCUCUCUUCUCCCAAACUCUCACAAUCCUUGAGCAGAGAAUCUCAGAUCUAAGAUGAACGAUCUAAUGACGAAGUCGUUCACGAGCUACGUCGACCUAAAGAAAGCAGCGAUGAAGGAUCUAGAAUCAGGCCCCGACCCGGCUGAUCUCGAGAUGACGAACAAAACCGACGAGAACCUCUCCUCCUUCCUCGAAGAAGCCGAGAAAGUCAAAUCAGAGAUGUCCUUGAUCGAGGCCGCGCUCUCCCGGAUCUCGCGGUACAACGACGAGAGCAAAUCCGCGCACAGAUCCGAAUCCGUGAAGUCUCUCCGCAACAAGAUCUCCAACGAGAUCGUCUCCGGUUUACGCAAAGCCAAAUCGAUUAAAUCGAACCUCGAGGAGAUGGAUAGAGCGAACCGGGAGAUUAAACGGUUAUCCGGAACAACUCCGGUUUACAGAAGCAGAGUGACUGUAACCAACGGUUUAAGAAAAAAAUUAAAAGAAGUGAUGAUGGAGUUUCAAGGACUAAGGCAGAGGAUGAUGAGUGAGUAUAAAGAGACCGUUGAGAGACGGUACUUCACUGUCACCGGAGAGAGACCUGACGAGGAGAUGAUUGAGAAGAUCGUUACUGAUGGAGGGGAAGAGUUUCUAACUCGAGCCAUUCAGGAGCAUGGGAGAGGGAAGGUGUUGGAGACGGUUGUUGAGAUUCAGGACAGGUACGACGCGGCGAAAGAGAUUGAGAAGAGU
rnacentral:lncRNA from 1 species